GAUGAACGCUGGCGGCGUGCCUAAUACAUGCAAGUCGAGCGAACGGACGAGAAGCUUGCUUUUCUGAUGUUAGCGGCGGACGGGUGAGUCACACGUGGAUAACCUACCUAUAAGACUGGGAUAACUUCGGGAAACCGGAGCUAAUACCGGAUAAUAUUUUGAACCGCAUGGUUCAAAAGUGAAAGACGGUCUUGCUGUCACUUAUAGAUGGAUCCGCGCUGCAUUAGCUAGUUGGUAAGGUAACGGCUUACCAAGGCAACGAUGCAUAGCCGACCUGAGAGGGUGAUCGGCCACACUGGAACUGAGACACGGUCCAGACUCCUACGGGAGGCAGCAGUAGGGAAUCUUCCGCAAUGGGCGAAAGCCUGACGGAGCAACGCCGCGUGAGUGAUGAAGGUCUUCGGAUCGUAAAACUCUGUUAUUAGGGAAGAACAUAUGUGUAAGUAACUGUGCACAUCUUGACGGUACCUAAUCAGAAAGCCACGGCUAACUACGUG
rnacentral:rRNA from 1 species